CACAGCAGCUCGCCAUCCUUCUCCAUUUCCUUUCUCGAAAUACUUAACGGCUACCUGCAUCCUUCUCAGAAUUGCAAAGAAUUCCUCCACCUCCUCCUCUGUGGCGUCGUCCUCUCUCUGCUUUUUACGAUUUGGUUCCUGAUCGGAUUGUUUCUCGAUCCUUCUCCUUUUGUCUUUUCCCUUAUUGUUAUCCAUGCUUCUCUGUGAAAAACAAAACAAGCACAAAUCCUUUCUUUUGCUAAUAGCUCAGUAACAUCAUCAAGCAGUUGCAACCAAUAUAUGUAUUAAAUCCACAUAAAAUUUUAAAAAAGUAAGUAAUUAAUUUAAUUUAGUGACCUAGAACGAGAAAUUGCAUGGUAGUUAGGUCCAUAUAAAUUUUAUUUAUAAAGAAGACUAAGAAGAUUUGGUCUUACUUUAAUCAAAACAAAUUAUUGAAAUAAAAAAAUAUUUUGUUAUUUACUUUUUAAAUUAUUUUUUAAAAAAAAUAAAAAAAAAUUGUGUUGCGCAGCGCUGUGAUUGAAAUUCUAAGCGAAAGAGUGCUGUUUGUAUGGGGCGGUUAAAAAAUGGAA
rnacentral:lncRNA from 1 species